UGGGGGAUAUUGCGCAAUGGGGGAAACCCUGACGCAGCAACGCCGCGUGAAGGAUGAAGGUUUUCGGAUUGUAAACUUCUUUUAUUUAGGACGAAUUAUGACGGUACUAAAUGAAUAAGCUCCGGCUAACUACGUGCCAGCAGCCGCGGUAAUACGUAGGGAGCAAGCGUUAUCCGGAUUUACUGGGUGUAAAGGGUGCGUAGGCGGCUUGGUAAGUCAGAUGUGAAAUGUAUGGGCUCAACCCAUGCACUGCAUUUGAAACUAUUGAGCUUGAGUGAAGUAGAGGUAGGCGGAAUUCCCUGUGUAGCGGUGAAAUGCGUAGAGAUAGGGAGGAACACCAGUGGCGAAGGCGGCCUACUGGGCUUUAACUGACGCUGAGGCACGAAAGCGUGGGUAGCAAACAGGAUUAGAUACCCUGGUAGUCCACGCUGUAAACGAUGAUUACUAGGUGUGGGGGGUCUGACCCCUUCCGUGCCGGAGUUAACACAAUAAGUAAUCCACCUGGGGAGUACGACCGCAAGGUUGAAACUCAAAGGAAUUGACGGGGGCCCGCACAAGCAGUGGAGUAUGUGGUUUAAUUCGAAGCAACGCGAAGAACCUUACCAGGUCUUGACAUCGAGUGACGAAUCUAGAGAUAGGUUUUUCCUUCGGGACACAAAGACAGGUGGUGCAUGGUUGUCGUCAGCUCGUGUCGUGAGAUGUUGGGUUAAGUCCCGCAACGAGCGCAACCCUUGCUAUUAGUUGCUACGCAAGAGCACUCUAAUAGGACUGCCGUUGACAAAACGGAGGAAGGUGGGGACGACGUCAAAUCAUCAUGCCCCUUAUGACUUGGGCUACACACGUGCUACAAUGGCGUAAACAAAGGGAAGCAAAGCUGUGAAGCCGAGCAAAUCUCAAAAAUAACGUCUCAGUUCGGACUGUAGUCUGCAACCCGACUACACGAAGCUGGAAUCGCUAGUAAUCGCAGAUCAGAAUGCUGCGGUGAAUACGUUCCC
rnacentral:rRNA from 1 species